CGAACCAUCCAGUGGUGCUGCACAACGAGAACCGAAAACGAGGCGGUAUGGCUGAGAAUAUACGGCCUUAACUUGAUCUGGAUAAUACCAGCGAAAGGAUCAUGACUGCUUCCCCC
rnacentral:ncRNA from 1 species